UACAGAGGGCUCAAGCGUUGUUCGGAUUCAUUGGGCGUAAAGGGUGCGUAGGCGGCGCGGUAAGUCGGGUGUGAAAUCUCGGGGCUUAACUCCGAAACUGCAUUCGAAACUGCGCGGCUUGAGGUAGGUAGGGGAGAUCGGAAUUCCUGGUGUAGCGGUGGAAUGCGCAGAUAUCAGGAGGAACACCGGUGGCGAAGGCGGAUCUCUGGGCCUUACCUGACGCUGAGACGCGAAAGCUAGGGGAGCGAACAGG
rnacentral:rRNA from 1 species